AACGCUGGCGGUAGACCUAACACAUGCAAGUCGAACGGCAGCACAGUAAGAGCUUGCUCUUACGGGUGGCGAGUGGCGGACGGGUGAGGAAUACAUCGGAAUCUACUUUUUCGUGGGGGAUAACGUAGGGAAACUUACGCUAAUACCGCAUACGACCUACGGGUGAAAGCAGGGGAUCUUCGGACCUUGCGCGAUUGAAUGAGCCGAUGUCGGAUUAGCUAGUUGGCGGGGUAAAGGCCCACCAAGGCGACGAUCCGUAGCUGGUCUGAGAGGAUGAUCAGCCACACUGGAACUGAGACACGGUCCAGCCUCCUACGGGAGGCAGCAGUGGGGAAUAUUGGACAAUGGGCGCAAGCCUGAUCCAGCCAUACCGCGUGGGUGAAGAAGGCCUUCGGGUUGUAAAGCCCUUUUGUUGGGAAAGAAAAGCAGCAGGUUAAUACCCCGCUGUUCUGACGGUACCCAAAGAAUAAGCACCGGCUAACUUCGU
rnacentral:rRNA from 1 species